GUGGGGAAUUUUGGACAAUGGGCGAAAGCCUGAUCCAGCAAUGCCGCGUGCAGGAUGAAGGCCCUCGGGUUGUAAACUGCUUUUGUACGGAACGAAAAGCCUGGGGCUAAUAUCCCCGGGUCAUGACGGUACCGUAAGAAUAAGCACCGGCUAACUACGUGCCAGCAGCCGCGGUAAUACGUAGGGUGCAAGCGUUAAUCGGAAUUACUGGGCGUAAAGCGUGCGCAGGCGGUUUUGUAAGACAGUGGUGAAAUCCCCGGGCUCAACCUGGGAACUGCCAUUGUGACUGCAAGGCUAGAGUGCGGCAGAGGGGGAUGGAAUUCCGCGUGUAGCAGUGAAAUGCGUAGAUAUGCGGAGGAACACCGAUGGCGAAGGCAAUCCCCUGGGCCUGCACUGACGCUCAUGCACGAAAGCGUGGGGAGCAAACAGGAUUAGAAACCCCAGUAGUCC
rnacentral:rRNA from 1 species